AGUCCAGACUCCUACGGGAGGCAGCAGUGGGGAAUAUUGCACAAUGGGCGCAAGCCUGAUGCAGCCAUGCCGCGUGUAUGAAGAAGGCCUUCGGGUUGUAAAGUACUUUCAGCGGGGAGGAAGGUGCUGAGGUUAAUAACCUCAGCAAUUGACGUUACCCGCAGAAGAAGCACCGGCUAACUCCGUGCCAGCAGCCGCGGUAAUACGGAGGGUGCAAGCGUUAAUCGGAAUUACUGGGCGUAAAGCGCACGCAGGCGGUCUGUCAAGUCGGAUGUGAAAUCCCCGGGCUCAACCUGGGAACUGCAUUCGAAACUGGCAGGCUGGAGUCUUGGAGAGGGGGGUAGAAUUCCAGGUGUAGCGGUGAAAUGCGUAGAGAUCUGGAGGAAUACCGGUGGCGAAGGCGACCCCCUGGACAAAGACUGACGCUCAGGUGCGAAAGCGUGGGGAGCAAGCAGGAUUAGAUACCCGUGUA
rnacentral:rRNA from 1 species